UCAAGCAAAAAAGAGCGCAGGGUGGAUGCCUUGGCACUAAGAGCCGAAGAAAGACGUGAUAAGCUGCGAAAAGCUGCGGGGAGAUGCAAAUAAUCUUUGAUCCGCAGAUGUCUGAAUGGGGAAACCCGGCUGGAAGGACUCCAGCCAUCCAUACGCCAAUCCAUAACGUAUGGAAGGGAACCCGGUGAACUGAAACAUCUAAGUAGCCGGAGGAAGAGAAAGAAACAUCGAUUUCCAGAGUAGCGGCGAGCGAAAUGGAAAGAGGCCAAACCGUUGUGCGUGCACAGCGGGGUUCGGACCGCAUAAUUGAUUCAGUGAUUCUAGCAGAAAGGUUUUGGGAAAGCCUGCCGGAGAGGGUGAAAGCCCCGUAAGCGAAAGGAAAACUGACAAGGCGGUAUCCAGAGUACAUCGAGACACGUGAAACCUUGAUGGAACACGCGGGGACCACCCCGUAAGCCUAAAUACUACUUAGUGACCGAUAGCGCAUAGUACUGUGAAGGAAAGGUGAAAAGGACCCCGGGAGGGGAGUGAAAGAGAACCUGAAACCCUGUGUUUACAAUCUGUGGAAGGUCUUUAUAUGAUCAACCGCGUACUUUUUGUAGAACGGUCCGGCGAGUUACGCGUACUGGCAAGGUUAAGUGCUUAAGGCACGGAGCCGAAGCGACAGCGAGUCUUAACUGGGCGGUAAGUCAGUACGAGUAGACCCGAAACCGGGUGAUCUAUCCAUGUCCAGGAUGAAGAUGCCGUAAAAGGCAUUGGAGGUCCGAAGCCACAUCCGUUGAAAAGGGUGGGCAUGAGGUGUGGAUAGGGGAGAAAUUCCAAUCGAACCCGGAGAUAGCUGGUUCUCCUCGAAAUAGCUUUAGGGCUAGCCUCGUUUUAGUCUUAUGGAGGUAGAGCACUGAAUUUCCGCGGGGGCGUCAAAGCUUACCAAAGAAUAUCAAACUCCGAAUGCCAUGUAGAUGAUGAACGGGAGUCAGACUGCACGAGAUAAGUUGGGCGGUCAAAAGGGAAAGAGCCCAGACCACCGGCUAAGGUCCCAAAGUGUGUGUUAAGUGGAAAAGGAUGUGGGAAUUCGAAGACAACUAGGAUGUUGGCUCAGAAGCAGCCAUACAUUCAAAGAGUGCGUAACAGCUCACUAGUCGAGAGUCCCUGCGCCGAAAAUGUCCGGGGCUGAAACACAACACCGAAGCCGUGGACUCCGUAAGGAGUGGUAGAGGAGCAUUCUUAAAACCGACGAAGCUGUACCGGUAAGGAGCAGUGGAGGGAUAAGAAGAGAGAAUGCCGGAAUGAGUAGCGAGAGGAAGGUGGGAAUCCUUCCGGCCGAAUAUCUAAGGUUUCCAGAGUAAAGCUGAUCUGCUCUGGGUAAGUCGGGGCCUAAGGAGAGGUCGCAAGACGUAUCCGAUGGACAACAGGUUUAGAUUCCUGUACCGCAUAUAAACAGAACUGUGGGGACGCAUGUGGAAAGCAUAAGCCGGGAAUGGAAAGACCGGUACAAGCGGGGUAGGUGUGUGACAGGCAAAUCCGUCACAUAAGCCGAAGACGUGAUGUGGAGCGAAAUUAAGUAGUGAAGUAUGUGAGCCAUGUGCCGAGAAAAGCCGCUAUUGUUUUAUAUGUGCCCGUACCGUAAACCGACACAGGUGGAUGAGGAGAGAAUCCUAAGGCCGACGGAAGAAGCAUUGUUAAGGAAUUCGGCAAAAUGACCCCGUAACUUCGGGAGAAGGGGUGCCCACUGAAUGGUGGGCCGCAGAGAAUAGGCUCAAGCAACUGUUUAGCAAAAACACAGGUCUAUGCGAAACCGAAAGGUGAAGUAUAUGGGCUGACGCCUGCCCGGUGCUGGAAGGUUAAGAGGAGAGGUUAGCGCAAGCGAAGCUUUGAAUUUAAGCCCCAGUAAACGGCGGCCGUAACUAUAACGGUCCUAAGGUAGCGAAAUUCCUUGUCGGGUAAGUU
rnacentral:rRNA from 1 species